UUUGCCCCCAACGGUGCCUUCCAGGCAGCGCUGCCUGGUAGGCACCAUUGGGAGGCACUGGUUAUU